GUGGGGAAUCUUGCGCAAUGGGCGAAAGCCUGACGCAGCCAUGCCGCGUGAAUGAUGAAGGUCUUAGGAUUGUAAAAUUCUUUCACCGGGGACGAUAAUGACGGUACCCGGAGAAGAAGCUCCGGCUAACUUCGUGCCAGCAGCCGCGGUAAUACGAAGGGGGCUAGCGUUGCUCGGAAUUACUGGGCGUAAAGGGCGCGUAGGCGGACAGCUUAGUCAGAGGUGAAAGCCCAGGGCUCAACCUUGGAAUUGCCUUUGAUACUGGCUGUCUUGAGUUUGGGAGAGGUGAGUGGAACUCCGAGUGUAGAGGUGAAAUUCGUAGAUAUUCGGAAGAACACCAGUGGCGAAGGCGACUCACUGGCCCAAUACUGACGCUGAGGCGCGAAAGCGUGGGGAGCAAACAGGAUUAGAAACCCUAGUAUCC
rnacentral:rRNA from 1 species